AACGAACGCUGGCGGCAUGCCUAACACAUGCAAGUCGAACGACACCUCCGUGACUAGUGGCGCUCGCGGGCGUCGCGUGGCGGAAGCUGGAGGUAUGCACGGAAUAAUACUCUGACAGGGGUGCUAACACCGGAUAAUGUCCGCGGAUACAAGAUUCAUCCUAUUGGGAUGGGCCGGCGUUGGUUUAGCUAGGUGGUAGGGUAAAAGCCGAUCACGGCGACGAUCGAUAGCUGGUCAGAGAGGAUGGUCCGCCACACUGGGGCUGUGACCCGGCCCGGACUCCUACGGGAGGGAGCAGUGGGGAAUAUAGGACUAUCGGCGGAGGGCUGAUCCAGCAAGGCCGCGUGAGUGAUGUAGUCCUUAAAGUUGUAAAGCUCUUUUACCCGGGAUGGUAAUGACGGUACCGAAAGAAUAAGCACCGGCUAACUCCGUG
rnacentral:rRNA from 1 species